rnacentral:rRNA from 1 species
GACGAACGCGGGGGGCGUGCUUAACACUUCAAGUCGAAGGAGCUAUUUAUUUCGGAAGAAGUUAAGUGGCAAACGGUUGAGUAACGCGUAGGCAACCUGCCCUCAGGAUGGGGACAACGGCUCGAAAGAGCCGCUAAUACCGAAUGAGGUAACUCUUCCACAUGGAAGAGAUACUAAAGAUGGGUCAAACCAUCGCCUAAGGAUGGGCCUGCGUCUGAUUAGCCAGUUGGUGAGGUAACGGCUCACCAAAGCGACGAUCAGUAGCCGAUCUGAGAGGAUGAACGGCCACAAUGGGACUGAGACACGGCCCAUACUCCUACGGGAGGCAGCAGUGGGGAAUCUUCCGCAAUGGGCGAAAGCCUGACGGAGCAACGCCGCGUGAGUGAAGAAGGUCUUCGGAUCGUAAAGCUCUGUUGUCGGGGACGAAAGAGUAGACGAGGAAAUGCGUCUAA